ACGACUGCUAUUUGGGUGAGAAUAAGCCAUGCGAGUCGAAUGGGAUACCUAAAUCUCCCAUGGCAAACUGCUCAGUAACACAUGAUCAACUUACCCUACAGAGAAAAAUAACCUCGGGAAACUGAGGAUAAUGUUUCAUAGUUGAAUAGGCUUGGAAAAGUUUUUCAAUAAAAGGGAUAAGGAAAAUGGUCCUUAUCCGCUAUAGGAUAGGAUCGUGUUCGAAUAUGGUUGUUGGUGAGGUAACGGCUCACCAAGUCGAUAAUCGAUAGGGGCCGUGAGAGCGGGAGCCCCGAGAUGGGUACUGAGACAACGACCCAGGCCUUACGAGGCGCAGCAGGCGCGAAACCUCCGCAAUACACGAAAGUGUGACGGGGUUACCCAAAGUGUUCAAUUUUGAACUGUGGUAGGUGAGUAAUGUUCCCUACUAGAAAGGAGAGGGCAAGGCUGGUGCCAGCCGCCGCGGUAAAACCAGCUCUUCAAGUGGUCGGGAUAAUUAUUGGGCUUAAAGUGUCCGUAGCCGGUUUAGUAAGUUCCUGGUAAAAUCGGGUAGCCUAACUAUCUGCAUGCUAGGAAUACUGCUAUACUAGAGGGCGGGAGAGGUCUGAGGUACUACAGGGGUAGGGGUGAAAUCAUAUAAUCCUUAUAGGUCCACCAGUGGCGAAGGCGUCAGACUGGAACGUGCCUGACGGUGAGGGACGAAAGCCAGGGGAGCGAACCGGAUUAGAUACCCGGGUAGUCCUGGCCGUAAACGAUGCAUACUAGGUGAUGGCACGGCCAUGAGCCGUAUCAGUGCCGUAGGGAAACCGUUAAGUGUGCCGCCUGGGAAGUACGGUCGCAAGGCUAAAAC
rnacentral:rRNA from 1 species